CCGCAGUUGGUGGAGCGUUCUCCAGUUUUACAGUCAAACCGUGGGGAAAAAAAACCCGGCUUUCUCCAGAGAAAGAGUAAGCGUGCCAAAAGCACAUGCUUGCUGGGAACAAAGGUACAUUUCCAUAAAGCCUGAUAAUCGGAAACUGGCCAAUGGAACAAAUGUCUUGGGCCUCCUGAUCGACACUUUAUUAAAGGAAGGCUUUCGUCUGGUCAGCACUAGAGCACCGGCCUCUGGAGACAAAAGUGAAUAUUAUGUCUUUGAAAGGAUAAAGAGCCCUCAAGUCCUUGGGAUCAAUAUAACACCCAGAUCAGAAACUUCCACCAUGCCAGUGUCGUCUCGGAAGUGACACUGCUCUUCUUUGGGAAUUCCAUAUCAGGACAUGUCUGUCAGAUUUGUACUCAGUCGAACUUCAGGUUUCCCUAGCAGUGCUUAAAGCCACACUGCCUGUUCUCUCAAAACAGCACUGUACUUUGUGCUUUGGCAUUUGCUCUUUUCCCCAUGAACUCUCAAAGCUUUUAGAAAUAGGCUCUGGACUUGAACUGUAUCUAAUCCUAGUUUAGUCAUUUAUUAGCUAUGUGACUUAAUUGAGACAUUUAACAUUUCUGUGUUUUAACUUUUAUCUAUUAACUAGGGACAAAAACUAUCUCCCCUUGUAGGGUUAUGA
rnacentral:lncRNA from 1 species